rnacentral:rRNA from 1 species
ACGGAGAGUUUGAUCCUGGCUCAGGAUGAACGCUGGCGGCGUGCCUAACACAUGCAAGUCGAACGGAAAUAGCAAUAUUUCAGUGGCGCACGGGUGAGGAACACGUAGCUAACCUGCCUUGCAGACAGGGAUAACGUUUCGAAAGAGACGCUAAUACCGGAUACGCUGGUGAGAUGUAAAAGCUCAUCAGGAAAGGGGAAACCCGCUGGAAGAGGGGGCUGCGACCCAUCAGGUAGUUGGUGCGGUAACGGCGCACCAAGCCGACGACGGGUAGCGGGUCUGAGAGGAUGACCCGCCACACUGGGACUGAGACACGGCCCAGACUCCUACGGGAGGCAGCAGUGAGGGAUAUUGCACAAUGGGGGAAACCCUGAUGCAGCGACGCCGCGUGGGU